AACGCACAUUGCGCCCUCUGGUAUUCCGGGGGGCAUGCCUGUUCGAGCGUCAUUACAACCCUCAAGCUCUGCUUGGUAUUGGGCGUCACCGCUUGGUGCGCCCCAAAAUCAGUGGCGGUGCCGUCUGGCUUCAAGCGUAGUAAUUCUUCUCGCUUUGGAGUCCAGGCGAGUGCUCGCCAGAACCCCCAAUUUUAUCAAGGUUGACCUCGGAUCAGGUAGGGAUACCCGCUGAACUUAA
rnacentral:misc_RNA from 1 species